rnacentral:rRNA from 1 species
GACGAACGCUGGCGGCGUGCUUAACACAUGCAAGUCGAACGGAAAGGCCCUGCUUGCGGGGUACUCGAGUGGCGAACGGGUGUGUAACACGUGGGUGUUCUGCCCUGCACUUCGUGAUAUGACUGGAGGACUGUGGCUAAUACCGCAGAUAAGCGCUCCUGAUUGUGAGGGUGGGAAGGUAUUUUGGGGUUGGGAUGAGCUUGCGGCCUAUCAGCUUGGUGGUGGGGUGAGGGCCUACCAAGGCGGCGGCGGGUAGGCGGCCCGGGAGGGUGGACGGCCCACAUGGGAAUGGGGUUCGGGCCAGAACCCUAAGGGAGGGAGCAGGGGGGGAUAUUGCCCAAUGGGCGGAAGCCUGAUGCAGGCACGCCGGGUGGGGGAUGACGGCCUUCGGGUUGUAAAACCGCUUCGGCCGGGACGGAGCUUUGUGUGACGGUACCUAGAUAAGAAGCACCGGCUAACUACGUG